AACGAUGCUGUAACGCCCAGACAGCCAGGAUGAUGGAAUAGAAGCAGCCAUCAUUUAAAGAAAGCGUAAUAGCUCACUGGUCGAGUCGGCCUGCGCGGAAGAUGUAACGGGGCUAAACCAUGCACCGAAGCUGCGGCAGCGAACGUAUCACCCAAGACAACUUUACGGAGUUGACGAUUGACGGAGCGAAGCGACGUCAAAGCGUUCAUUAAAGUCGAGUUGGCUUAGGGAUACGUUCGUUGGGUAGGGGAGCGUUCUGUAAGCCUGUGAAGGUGUGUCGUGAGGCAUGCUGGAGGUAUCAGAAGUGCGAAUGCUGACAUAAGUAACGAUAAAGCGGGUGAAAAGCCCGCUCGCCGGAAGACCAAGGGUUCCUGUCCAACGUUAAUCGGGGCAGGGUGAGUCGACCCCUAAGGCGAGGCCGAAAGGCGUAGUCGAUGGGAAACGGGUUAAUAUUCCCGUACUUGGUGUUACUGCGAAGGGGGGACGGAGAAGGCUAUGUUGGCCGGGCGACGGUUCCCACGGUCUAAGCGCGUAGGCGCGUGAUCCAGGUAACCCCGGUCCACUUCAACACUGAGCCGUGACGACGAGGCACUACGGUGCUGAAGCAACAAACGCCCUGCUUCCAGGAAAAGCCUCUAAGCAUCAGGUAACAUCAAAUCGUACCCCAAACCGACAAAGGUGGUCAGGUAGAGAAUC
rnacentral:rRNA from 1 species